rnacentral:lncRNA from 1 species
GGGGGCUGCUGGGCAGAGGGUUAUCUCCUGUACUUAUGCCGAGGGAGCAGAUCCUUGCUUUCAGUCCCCAGUAUGGUGGGGAGGUGGUUGCUUCUCUCCAUGGGUACAUGAACAUGCUGUCCUCUCCUGAAGGGGUGAUGACAGAGUUUGCAGCCCCUUUGACACAGCUAGAAGAAGGGAAUGCCUAAUCCAUGUCACACCUCCAGCUCAUACCAGGGCAUGUGGGCCUGAAUUGUCAACAAACUUAAAUGCGUAACCUGGGUGUCACAGGCAAAGAGAAAAGUUUCAGGUGUUCAAGGAUGCAACCAUGGAAUAAUGG